AAUCGGAAGCGGAAGUGGCUGCAUCGUCGACGCUGGGCUUUCGGGUCCCGCGCCCAGAGAUGGGCUCCAAGGCCAAGAAGCGCGUGCUGCUGCCCACCCGCCCGGCGCCCCCCACGGUGGAGCAGAUCCUGGAGGAUGUGCGGGGUGCGCCGGCAGAGGAUCCAGUGUUCACCAUCCUGGCCCCGGAAGGGGUGGAGGCCGGGCGCUGUGGUUCAGGCCUGUAAGCCCAGCACUUUCGGAGGAUGAGGCGGGAGGAUCGCUUGAGCCCAGGAGUUCGAGACCAGCCUGGCCAACAUGGUGAAACCCCGUCUCUGCUAAAAAUGAAAAAAAAAAAAAACAACAACAA
rnacentral:sRNA from 1 species